rnacentral:lncRNA from 11 species
GCUGGGAGCUGAACUGGCAAUCUGCUGGAAGCAAUGUUUCUGGAACUGAAUAGCCUGAACCUCUUUUUGUGUACUCUUAUUUUGGACCUUGACCUUGGUGAAUUGAUGAUGCUUUGGAUUAUGGCUUUAAUUUGCUAUAACCAAACCCAGCAACAGGAUAACCCCGU